CCCUUAGAUGUUCUGGGCCGCACGCGCGCUACACUGAUGCAUUCAACGAGUCUAAAACCUGCACUGAUAGGGGUGGGUAAUCUUUUGAAUGUGCAUCGUGAUUGGGAUAGAUGAUUGCAAUUUUUCAUCUUCAACGAGGAAUGCCUAGUAAACGCAAGUCAUCAGCUUGCAUUGAUUACGUCCCUGCCCUUUGUACACACCGCCCGUCGCUCCUACCGAUUGAAUGAUCCGAUGAAUAUCAUGGAUUGAGGAUGCAAGUAGGUUCGCCUAUCUUCAUCUUCGAGAAGUGAAGUAAAUCUUAUCAUUUAGAGGAAGGAGAAGUCGUAACA
rnacentral:rRNA from 1 species